rnacentral:lncRNA from 1 species
GGCAGAACGAGCGUGGAGUCGGCUCGGCCGCCCUCGCCGCGCUGGGAACGUCUGCCUGGGUGCUACAGGUGCUGAGGCUCAUUUCUGUCACCUGAGCUCAUGAAAAUGCAACCUCUUCUCAGGAUGUGUCCUUACAUCAUAGCGUGGGCCGCUUCUUAGGGAACGUAAGGAUCUGUGUUGCAGCCCAGUGAGAGGAAAAUAAAAGUAUUUCCACCUGUUAUAGAGAAGAAUAUCUGGCUUCCAAAUCAGUCCAUCAGGAAAACGGACGUUCUUCACUCCAGGGUAUUCAGACACAUUCCACUGGACUGCAUAGUUCAUGAGAAAAGCAGGAAAGCAAUGGAUUGAUGCAGGUGAAGCACAAAGCGAGGUGGAAGAAGACAACAGGCAGGUAAGU